UACGAGUACCCCAAGCGUUAUCCGGAAUCAUUGGGCGUAAAGGGUGUGUAGGCGGUCUCUUUAGUCUUCUGUUAAAACCCAGGGCUUAACCCUGGGCUUGCAGUGGAAACGGAGAGACUGGAGGAUGCGAGGGGUGAAUGGAACUCAUGGAGUAGGGGUGAAAUCCGUUGAUAUCAUGGGGAACACCGAAAGCGAAGGCAAUUCACUGGCGCAUUUCUGACGCUGAAACACGAAAGCGUGGGUAGCGAACGGG
rnacentral:misc_RNA from 1 species